rnacentral:rRNA from 1 species
AGUGUAGGCGGGAUCGUAAGUUAGGAGUUUAAUACAUGGGCUUAACCCAUGAGCUGCUUUUAAUACUGCGGUUCUUGAGUAUGGGAGAGGGCGAUGGAAUUCCAGGUGUAGCGGUGGAAUGCGUAGAUAUCUGGAGGAACACCUGUGGCGAAAGCGGCUCACUGGACCAUAACUGACGCUGAUGCACGAAAGCUAGGGGAGCAAACAGGAUUAGAUACCCUGGUAGUCCUAGCCCUAAACGAUGAUUGCUUGGUGUGUCGGGUACCCAAUCCCGACGUGCCGGAGCUAACGCGAUAAGCAAUCCGCCUGGGGAGUACGGUCGCAAGGCUGAA